rnacentral:rRNA from 1 species
AUUGAACGCUGGCGGCAUGCCUAACACAUGCAAGUCGAACGGUAACGCGAGGAGCUUGCUCCUUGGCGACGAGUGGCGGACGGGUGAGUAAUGCUUGGGAAUCUACCCAGUAGUGGGGGACAACAUUCGGAAACGGAUGCUAAUACCGCAUACGCGCUACGGUGGAAAGCGGGGGAUCUUCGGACCUCGCGCUAUUGGAUGAGCCCAAGUCGGAUUAGCUUGUUGGUAGGGUAAUGGCCUACCAAGGCGACGAUCCGUAGCUGGUCUGAGAGGACGAUCAGCCACACUGGGACUGAGACACGGCCCAGACUCCUACGGGAGGCAGCAGUGGGGAAUAUUGGACAAUGGGGGCAACCCUGAUCCAGCAAUGCCGCGUGUGUGAAGAAGGCCUGCGGGUUGUAAAGCACUUUCAAUCGUGAAGAAAAGCUUACGGUUAAUACCCGUAAGUAUUGACGUUAACGAUACAAGAAGCACCGGCUAACUCCGUG